AAGCAGCAGCAGCUGUUUUUUUGUGGCCCGACACAGAGCACAAAAACAUGGUCCAACCGGCAGAUAAAACUACGUUUUCAAAGCGAGAGAAGAGUCUGGUUCCGUGAAAAUGUAUUUCUUCGCAGUGUUUGUCCUUUUGGGGACAGGACUGGCGGUAAACGGCGAGAUUCAUUCCCUCACUUACAUCUCCAAACCUGUCGGACUCCCGGGCAUCCACGAGUUCACAGCCAUGGGUCUGCUGGACGGCAGGAUGAUCGACUACUUUGACAGCGACAACCAGAAGAAAGUUCCCAAACAGGCCUGGAUGAAAGAGCGACUGUCUGAAGAUUACUGGGACAAAGGCACCCAGUCCCGCCAGAGCAAGCAGCAGUGGUUCAAAGUCAACAUCAACAUCCUGAAGGAACGAAUGAGACAGAAUGACACGGACCUCCAUAUUCUCCAGUGGAUCGUCAGCUGCGAAGGCGAAAUGAAGGACGGAAAGAUGAAGUUCAUACGUGGCAUUAACAUGUACGGCUACGAUGGAAACGACUUCCUGUCAUUUGAUGAAGUCAACGGCGUCUGGGUUGCCCCAACUGACGCGGCAGUCCAGACCAAGACAAAGUGGGACGAAGUCCUAAAAGAAUCCACCAAAGGCUACCUGGAGAACGAGUGCAUCGAUUGGUUGGGGAAGUUCAUCAUUUAUGGACAAAAACAGCUGGAAGAAGCCAUUCCUCCGGAGGUGCACCUGUUUACAAGGAACACCAAAGUUGAAGCAAACCUCCUUUUGACGUGCCUGGCCACAGGUUUCUUACCAAAAGAAAUCACCCUGCGCAUGAAAAGGAACGGCCGUGUUCUAACUCCAGCUGACGGAGUUGUGACCUCCGGCGUUCGACCCAAUGGUGACGAGACCUUCCAGAGACGAGACAGCGUGGAGAUUUUACGGAGUGACUUGUCUACCUACACCUGUGAAGUGAUCCAUCAGGCAUCCAAAGUACAUGUUGAGGAGGAGUGGGAUCAUAAAGUUCCUGAGGCCUCUGGAGGAAUCAUUGGUGGGGCGAUUGGAACCGUGAUCGGGAUCCUUGUCACGGUCGGGGUGGUACUGGUUAUCUUGUAUCUAAAAGGAAUAAUUGGCAAUAACGGGCGGUAACAAUGGCGCAGUCAUGUACCUAACUGUCCUCCAGGGAGCUCGCAGAGGCAGCCAAGGAUCUCUCAACAGCGCUUCCACUGGCAGUUCCAGUGGUGGUUCUAGAUCAGUUGAAUCUCUCAACAGCAAUCGGAGUCAUAACACUGACCUUAACUUCUAACACCAGCACCAUCGACCAGCUGUAGCUCUCUCUGCUCACCGUCCCUGCUCAGCUCCCCUCCAUCGAGUCCGGCCGCCAGCCAGUCUCUUCACCACGGCGGGAGGAGGACAAACUGCGGAGAUUACUAACAGUUUGGACAGUCUUGUUUCUUCACGUUUUUAUCUGUUUCUACUGGUUGAAAAAGAUUGGAUUCGGACUUAAGCUGCAUCGUAUCAGAGCUAAGGUAAACACUGAUAAGCUAGCGCCAGCUCCAUGGUUACUUCCAUUCCUCCUGGCGAGUCCCCACUUCCCUGCAAAAUGUCCUCGUUAUUUAGGAAUGCAAACAAAGAUGUUGCUGACCUUAAGGAAGAUGUUCGUCGGCUUUCCGAGGACUUAAAGGCCAAAGACGCCUUGUUAACCGCCUGCCUGGACGUGGCUCAUGAACCGUUGCUCCGGAUCUCAACCCUCUCAGCGGCCCUCCAGGAUCCAGCGCCUAGGGAUCCAUCUGCCUGCCAGCGUCCAUCAAGGCGUCCUGGACUGAGGUGGUUUGCGGCCAAAAGUAAGUUGUAUCAGCCAAUCAGAAUGUCUGUAGCUCUUCCUGUUGCAGGAAGAAUGGCAGUGCAUGAGAUAGGAGAAAGACGUUACUGAGCCAGUGAGCGAAACAAAAGUAGCAAACAGUGUUUUAAGCUCUCAUAUUUUAUUUUCUUAAGUGUUUUAUGUUACAUUCUGUCUACACAGGUAGACUGGUUUAUUUUGCCGUUAUUUAGCAAGUUUAGCAAAAGUUAGAAGUGUGAAUGUUCGAAUGCUUGAAGCCAUGUUAAGGGGUUUUUACACUAGACGCAUCCAAGGUGGCGCGUGACAUCGUGACGUCAAAAUUACGUAACAUCCGGCCGACGCGUCCAAUUUAUGGCGCGCUAGCCGAGGUCGCGCACGGCUCUUUUCUUUUCAGCGGUGCACGACAAAGCGGAAACAGGAGGCCUGAACGAGUUUGCCGACAACCGGAUGACAGGACUCUCAGAGUGACUGCAGGUCUCUCUGGUAAACUUACUGGGUUAAGAUGAGUUCUUUUAUGGUGAAUGAAAG